CCCUGAUGACUUCAUCUGACGUCACACUCAUCGGGAAAGAUGGAUAUGUCCCGAUGAACAUGGAGAUCUUUGAAAAUACACUUGGGAGGGCCGAUUCCAGAUACUUCCUGUCAGCGUCGGAGAUUACGCAUGGGGAAAUCACCCAGCAGGAGGCCACCUGUCGGGCCGAGGGGGGCGAACCAGCGGUCUUGACGUCAG